CGCUCGCCAGAUGUAAACUCUUGUAGCUGGUGUUCCCGAUGGUAACGAUCUUUUGAUGAUUUAUCAGCUAUAGGAAUGAGAGUACCAAUGCACCGGAUGUUGACAUCAGAGAAGUGUUAAUACAAGAUUGAGCCGCGCAGAAAAAGCAGACCAUUUAUUGUACAUGGAUUGCGCAGCUUGAUCGAAAGAGUGAUUCGGAUCAAAUACUGCCUCCCAUACUUUUCAGCCAUCCUUGCAGAGGAGUUCCAAAGUCUUUUUUUAAGCCUGAAGUGGUCUCGUGCAAUGAGGUUGAUGUAAAAGAAGGUUUGCGUCACACACCCUGAGACUACAUCCACUGUCAACAGUGUCAGCAUCUGGUAGGUUGCCAUGUUUCAUUUUUUUUAUCCCCAGUUCAAUGAUUUAGAGUUUUUGGGCUAGAAGGAAUACAGUUUAGAGUUUGG